UUUCUCUCCUAGGGUUUACCCUUGUGGGAGCCUAUUUCUCUCCGUGAGUGGGAGUAUCUAUUUCAGUACCUCUCCCCGGCAACUGCCGUGGGAGAGGACGUCCGGCAACGUGUGUGAGUGGAGGACGUGUGUGUGUGUUGAUGUUGUGUGCCUGUGAGGCCGUUGGGAAUAAUGAUUGAGGCAGGGGAGAGGCCAUUUUGUGAUGUGUAUUGUGCGUAUAGAUCUGUGAAAUUAAAGAAGGAAGAUGAUAGCCAAGGUGGAGCUAAAUCAAUUGAAGAUAUAUCCCUAGCAGAACGAACACCUGAGCAAUGGAGGUCGAGGGAACCUUGGAUCAUUGUGCAGAGAUUGAUAAAAAAUGAGAAUGAUCGGACGAUGCCUAUGGAAGCUAAGGUCUCGCUAAUAGAAGAAAAUUUUCAGAGCAGCCUCUACUGGAAUAACACCAACAUCGGAGCUCUGUUUUUCCGAAUUGACAAUGCGAAACAAUCAACACUCUUCCUCUCUUGAUUCAAGGGAGCGGUUUAAAGCUGCCAUUGUGGAUGCAGCAUUGGCGUCAAAGAAAUUGGGCUCAGUUGUUGAGCAAGUCUUUGGGACUACCACCUUCUACAGCUGUUCUUGUUUGAAGUAUUGGGAUUUGGCUUGCAUUGUUCAGUUGAAGAGUGUUCCUUUAUGCUUGUAUUUUUUUUUUUCCCUGGUGCUUGUGUUUUGUUUCUAUAUUUUGUUGGUUUUCAUUCCAGUUAUAACUUUUCUGGGUUGUACUUUGGUGUUUCGUUUGUUACUUUUAAUGGAUAUGAAUACAAAUAUUUCUGGCAA